rnacentral:rRNA from 1 species
UACAGAGGGGGCAAGCGUUGUUCGGAAUUACUGGGCGUAAAGGGCUCGUAGGUGGCCAACUAAGUCAGACGUGAAAUCCCUCGGCUUAACCGGGGAACUGCGUCUGAUACUGGAUGGCUUGAGUUCGGGAGAGGGAUGCGGAAUUCCAGGUGUAGCGGUGAAAUGCGUAGAUAUCUGGAGGAACACCGGUGGCGAAGGCGGCAUCCUGGACCAUUACUGACACUGAAAAGCGAAAGCCAGGGGAGCAAACGGG